rnacentral:rRNA from 1 species
UGACCGCUGGCGGCGUGCCUACUACAUGCACGUCGAGCGAACAGACGAGGAGCUUGCUCCUCUGACGUUAGCGGCGGACGGGUGAGUAACACGUGGAUAACCUACCUAUAAGACUGAGAUAACUUCGGGAAACCGGAGCUAAUACCGGAUAAUAUAUUGAACCGCAUGGUUCAAUAGUGAAAGACGGUUUUGCUGUCACUUAUAGAUGGAUCCGCGCCGCAUUAGCUAGUUGGUAAGGUAACGGCUUACCAAGGCGACGAUGCGUAGCCGACCUGAGAGGGUGAUCGGCCACACUGGAACUGAGACACGGUCCAGACUCCUACGGGAGGCAGCAGUAGGGAAUCUUCCGCAAUGGGCGAAAGCCUGACGGAGCAACGCCGCGUGAGUGAUGAAGGUCUUCGGAUCGUAAAACUCUGUUAUUAGGGAAGAACAAAUGUGUAAGUAACUAUGCACGUCUUGACGGUACCUAAUCAGAAAGCCACGGCUAACUACGUG